CUUCACUUCACAGGCUGCACGAAGGCUUUUACUAAAGACGGAACCAAUAAAAGAAACUAAAAGGAAAUAUCGUCAUGAAAGGUAUAUUUAUAAUCUGUUUGUUUCUCGUGAUUUUUGAACUAACAUGUGGAAAAGUGGCAGAACGUGAGAACCGUAAUGAAGAAAGGCAUCGAACAACUGAUUGCGAAAUAAAUGGUGGAUUUUGUAUUCCUUUCUAUUACAAUAGUCCAACCUGCAAUGAGCAUUCCAUUUGUGCAGAGGCCUUCCCGCAUAUGUGUUUACCCGGAGGACAAUGCUGCCACUGCAGAGGCUAAGAUGUGGGAUAGGUUCUAAGUUUGUUUUCAAGUUGAAAGUAGUUAUAGAACAAUCGACGAAUGUCAUAUAUAUUAUGUGUACUAUUUAUGGUGUUCUUAAAUUGUA